rfam:Schistosoma curassoni strain Dakar, Senegal genome assembly, scaffold: SCTD_scaffold0000922
AUCCAGCUGACGAGUUCCAAAUAGGAUGGAACACCCGUCCUGGAU